rnacentral:tRNA from 1 species
GAAUAAGAAGCAAAUUAUUGCAUUCAGUUUCGACCUGAAAAUAUGAUAUUAUAUUAUCCUUAUUCU